ensembl:lncRNA
CAGACUUGGCAAAAGGAACUCUGAGAUGAGUUUGAAAGUGAAAGUGAAAGUUGCUCAGUCAUGUUUGACCCUUUGCGACCCCAUGGACUUAGUCCAUGGAAUUCUCCAGUAUUCUUGCCUGGGAAACCCCGUGGACAGAGGAGCCUGGCGGGCUACAAGUUCAAAGGAUAGCAAGGAGUCGGACACAGCUGAGCGACUAAGCACACAUGCACAUUACAUGCAUAUAUAUUCUUUUCUAUGUUCUGUUCCAUUACGGCUUAUUACGGAGACUUAAUAUAGUUACCUGAGCUAUAAGGUAGGACCUUAUUGUUUAUCUGUUCUAUGCGCAGUGCUGCAUAUCUGCUAGACCCAAGCUUCUAAUUUCUCUCUCCCCCACUGCCUUUCCCCUUCAGUAACCACAAGUCUGUUCUCCAUGUCUGUUUCUGUUUCAUAGAUAAGUUUACUUGUAUCAUGUUUUAGAUUAAACAUAUGAUGAUUCCAUAAUGGUAUCUGUCUUUGUCUUUCUGACUAUUUAAUGUAACAGUCUCUAGGGCUAUCCAUGUUGCUGCAAAUGGUAACAUUUCAUUCUUUUUUAUGACUGAUAGACUGAUAAUAUUCCAGUGUGUAUUCUUUACUACUGGGCCACCUGGGAAACCCCUGGUAAUAUAAAUUCCACAUCUGCUUUAUCCAUUCAUCUGUCAAUGGACACUUAGGUUGUUUCCAAGUCUUGGUUAUUAUAAAUAUGAACAACACAUUUUAUUAAUCCUAUUUAGGUACAAUUUCUGGUACAGCCAUCUAUACAGUGGUUCUAAAGUCAAUUUCCUCUCUUAAGUGUGAUUAAGACAAGCAUCCCUGUGGAGGAUUUUUCUCCAACGGCCCCUACUUGGCCUGUGGUAAACCUUCUGUUUACUAUACUGUAAAUACUGGAAGAGUUCUUUAAAAUCUGUGAGAUUUAACCUGUUUCUAUGUGUUAGUGCUUGAAAAGUAAGUUCAGUUCUGAAAUGAUAAGGGAGCCCUAUUUGGACGUUAACCAUCGUCCUUGGUGGAAGCAGCCCAGGGCUUCAAUAUUUAACCAGUCCAUGUCUGUCGAUAAAUACCACAGGUGUCAACUGACUGGCUGUAUCCUUUACUCCAGGAUGGAGCAGUGUUUACCUCACUCCAAGUCCUGUAUCACCUCACCUCCUCAUGUGCUGAUCUUCACGAGGCUGAAGCUGAAGUUAGAGAUGUUCACCUAACUGUGAGCCUCACUGACGGGGCUUGUUUUCACAUUGGUUGCCGAACCGUCCAUGUGUUUUCUCAGUCACUCCUACGGCAGGAAUCCUUGAAAGAGGAGCAACCUGCUCAGGAGAAACUCUUCAUCGAAAGUGAGAGGAAGUGCACCCACUACAU